rnacentral:rRNA from 1 species
AUUGAACGCUGGCGGCAGGCUUAACACAUGCAAGUCGAGCGGAGUGAUGGUGCUUGCACUAUCACUUAGCGGCGGACGGGUGAGUAAUGCUUAGGAAUCUGCCUAUUAGUGGGGGACAACAUCUCGAAAGGGAUGCUAAUACCGCAUACGUCCUACGGGAGAAAGCAGGGGAUCACUUGUGACCUUGCGCUAAUAGAUGAGCCUAAGUCGGAUUAGCUAGUUGGUGGGGUAAAGGCCUACCAAGGCGACGAUCUGUAGCGGGUCUGAGAGGAGGAUCCACCACACUGGGACUGAGACACGGCCCAGACUCCUACGGGGGGAAGCAGUGGGGAAUAUUGGACAAUGGGGGGAACCCUGAUCCAGCAAUGCCGCGUGUGUGAAGAAGGCCUUAUGGUUGUAAAGCACUUUAAGCGAGGAGGAGGCUCUUUUGGUUAAUACCCAAGAUGAGUGGACGUUACUCGCAGAAUAAGCACCGGCUAACUCUGUGCCAGCCGCCGCCGUAAGAC